rnacentral:sRNA from 1 species
GGUGCCAGGAAGCCCAGAAGCAAGGACGGAAAGUGAUCAAGCGUGUGGCACAAUGGAUACUGUGGAUAUUGCAAACAACUCUACUUUGGGAAAACCCAAGAGGAAAAGAAGAAAAAAGAGGGGGCAUGGCUGGAGCAGAAUGAGAAUGAGAAGGCAGAAAAACAGCCAACAAAAUGAUAAUAGCAAAGCCGACGGCCAGCUGGUCUCCAGUGAAAAGAAGGCGAACGUGAAUCUGAAAGACCUUUCCAAGAUUAGGGGGAGAAAGAGAGGCAAACCUGGAACCCACUUCACUCAGAGUGACAGAGCUGCACAGAAAAGAGUCCAAUCAAGAGGUAAAAAAGAAAACAGGAAUGCACUUUCAAUAACUAAACAUCUAAUUUCCUGUGCGGUACACUGUACUUUCAGUAAUAAACCCAUUUCCUUAAUUGUUUUAUGAGCUGUAGUAACUAGUGAGAAAUGUAU